UAUAUUUUAGUAUGUGAUGUACAGGGAAUUUUGAAUUCUCAGGAAGCAGUUAAAUUCUGUUAAAUAUAA
rnacentral:tRNA from 1 species